GGACUACCAGGGUAUCUAAUCCCGUUCGCUCCCCUAGCUUUCGUCCAUGAGCGUCAGAAGUUCCCCAGGACACUGCCUUCGCCUUUGGUGUUCCUCCGGAUCUCUACGCAUUUCACCACUCCACCCGGAAUUCCGUGUCCCUCUGAAACCCUCAAGUUCUCCAGUUUGGCACCGCCUUGCUCAGUUAAGCCGAGCACUGUCAGGGGCCACCCAAAGAACCGCCUGCGGACGCUUUACGCCCAGUAACUCCGGACAACGCUCGCCCCCUACGUAUUACCGCGGCUGCUGGCAC
rnacentral:rRNA from 1 species